CGCGCGCAUGCGCGUGUCGGUGGCGAGCGCGAUCCAUUGCCGGCUGAUAGUGCGACCUAGCUGCCGGACACGCGCGUUUAAGUGGCGCUCUCGCGUCGUGGCCUGCCGCGAAUUUUGAAGAUGGGAACGACAGAGUGUCAGUAUAACGUCAUCGAGCCAUUUCGGCACGUACACGACAUCAGUUUGCCAAGUCUUCUUUGCUGAGGAUCUGUUCUGGCGGCAUUUUUGACGUUCCGUUGCUCACCGCCGCGAUUUUGGACCAGCCACCUCAAGGAGUCGCAGAAUGUCACGUCAGCCUCACACGGAUUGCCUCCUCUCCGAGAAGAGGCCUCUCACGGAGGUUCUCCCCCCUCGCCGAACGUAGCUGCCCUCACUCUUAUUCAAGCACGUGUUCUGACAAGAGGUCGUCAGGAGUGAUGGCACGCUCUCUAUCCUCUCCGAAGAUUGCAUCCAGCUCCUCGUGAAUCUUCUGCUGAACGUCCGUGUAGAGUCCAAUAAGGUACAUUGCCCAUGAGAUACCCAUGGCCGUCGUGUCGUGACCC